rnacentral:tRNA from 1 species
UGGUAAGGCAUAGCACUUUGACUGCUAGAUGCAAAGGUUCGAGUCCUUUAUUCCCAGCGCGAGAAUGGUCAAA